rnacentral:rRNA from 1 species
ACUCCUACGGGAGGCAGCAGUAGGGAAUCUUCCACAAUGGGCGCAAGCCUGAUGGAGCAACACCGCGUGAGUGAAGAAGGGUUUCGGCUCGUAAAGCUCUGUUGUUAAAGAAGAAUACGUAUGAGAGUAACUGUUCAUACGUUGACGGUAUUUAACCAGAAAGUCACGGCUAACUACGUGCCAGCAGCCGCGGUAAUACGUAGGUGGCAAGCGUUAUCCGGAUUUAUUGGGCGUAAAGAGAGUGCAGGCGGUUUUCUAAGUCUGAUGUGAAAGCCUUCGGCUUAACCGGAGAAGUGCAUCGGAAACUGGAUAACUUGAGUGCAGAAGAGGGUAGUGGAACUCCAUGUGUAGCGGUGGAAUGCGUAGAUAUAUGGAAGAACACCAGUGGCGAAGGCGGCUACCUGGUCUGCAACUGACGCUGAGACUCGAAAGCAUGGGUAGCGAACAGGAUUAGAUACCCUGGUAGGAUAGCG